rnacentral:rRNA from 1 species
GACAGAGGGUGCAAACGUUGUUCGGAAUUACUGGGCGUAAAGCGCGUGUAGGUGGCUAUGCAAGUCGGAUGUGAAAGCCCUCGGCUCAACCGGGGAAGUGCACCCGAAACUGCAAAGCUAGAGUCUCGGAGAGGAUCGUGGAAUUCUCGGUGUAGAGGUGAAAUUCGUAGAUAUCGAGAGGAACACCGGUGGCGAAGGCGGCAUCCUGGACCGGUAUUGACGCUGAGGAGCGAAAGCUAGGGGAGCAAACGGG